ACACCUCAACUCUCAUGGUUCGCCCAUGAUGAGCUUGGACUCUGGAGGUCUUGCUGGCCAGUGGUCGGCUCCUCUCAAAUAAAUCAGCUCGCCAGUGUUUGGUAGCGUCGCAGGUGUGAUAACUAUCUACGCUUGUGGUUUUCUACCGGAUAACCUUCAGUGAUGGAGGUUCACUGGAGCUCAUAGAUGUCUCUCCUCAGUGAAGACAGCUUCUUGAAC
rnacentral:misc_RNA from 1 species